rnacentral:rRNA from 1 species
AUCGAACGCUGGCGGCAGGCCUAACACAUGCAAGUCGAACGAGUGGCGGACGGGUGAGCAAUGUCUGGGCAACUGCCUGAUGGACGGGGAUAACUACUGGAAACGUUAGCUAAUACCGCAUACCAUCGGAUCUGCCCAGAUGGGAUUAGCUAGUGGGGGGGGUAAAGGCUCACCUAGGCGACGAUCCCUAGCUGGGCUGAGAGGAUGACCAGCCACACUGGAACUGAGACACGGUCCAGACUCCUACGGGAGGCAGCAGUGGGGAAUAUUGCACAAUGGGCGCAAGCCUGAUGCAGCAAUGCCGCGUGUAUGAAGAAGGCCUUCGGGUUGUAAAGUACUUUCAGCGAGGAGGCGUUACUCGCAGAAGAAGCACCGGCUAACUACGUGCCAGCAGCCGCGGUAAUAC